AGAGGUCCAGUGUUCCUGAGUCCAAUGAGUCUGUGGGCUGCGAUAUCAAAGUCAGAGCUGCUACAGUUUCUUCAUCAUCUGAAGAAAGAAGCCUUGAACAGAAAUAAAAUUGCCUGACCCAUGCUAUACUGUUUUGCAGUUUGACAGUGAAAUCUGAUCGGGACCAAAUUCAGCUGUGGUUAUCUAUCUAGCAAACUAUGUGUUUGCUUUGGGAAGUGGCAAUGAUGUUUUAGCUCUGUUUUUUUUCCACUGAAGAUUCCCAUCUCAUCAAUCCCACCUGAGUGGCCUUUCAUUUAUGCCGAUGUUCUACUAGAUUGAAUCCAUAGAUCCAUGACAUGCCUUUCUUCCCUGGCACCUUUAAUGAUGAGAAACUCCAGUAUGGUUUGACGGCUAGAAACCAAGCUAAUUACACAAUCUGAGAUCUAAGGUUUCUAGUAAACUAUGAGAGGAGAUGCAGAGCUGCAUUGUCUCAAUCCUAGCAGUGGAAGAUAUUGCAGGAAGAUACAUCUAUGGCCUCACAAUGAGGACUUAAGAAGUUCUCACCAAGCAGAAGACCAGAUUCAUAGUGUAUCUUUAAUCAUUCAUGUGGAAAGAAACAAGAAAAAGAGAAGCUGACAGAAUCACAUUCUAGUAAAUAGUACUUCCAAGACCAAAAUACACCUUUGAAAAUCAAGAAUUAGCAAAUAAAUUCACCAUGUUAUUAUGACUGUAACAAGAAACUCUUGUGUCUUCAGGGUAAAAUAACAACCAGGGAUUUCAAUCAUUCUCCUACCCCCCAAGAAAACCUUCCCACUGAAUUUAUUUACUUUUUUCUUAAAUAACAGUGAAAUCUUUCUAUGGAAUGCACAGAUGGCCAGACAAGGCAUACUCAGUUAAAUAAGGGAGAAAAAUUAGAACAAACCUCAAGGGUAGACUGAUAUAUCUGUGAUUCUUUUCUUUAACGUUAUGAUAGUCUUAACCACAAAGUAAAAUGUCUGUCAACAGGCUAGAUGUAAUGAUCCUGCAGUCAUUUCUCAGUCCAAACCUCCACUGAUUUCAGUUCAGAGCCACAACUUGGGCAAAAGUAUGAAGUUUGGUUUUAGGAGGUAUCUGCCAAUCCAAUGACAAUUCACAAUAAUUUGCUUUGGAAGCAGCCCCAUAUGUAUUCUGGUUUGGUGUACAGUGUUCUAGAUAUCUUCAUAAAAGAUAUCUAUCAUAAAAGCCCCAUUUUUCAGAUUUAUUGCAUCUGGUCGAAUUUAGUGUAAAUAUGAGUAUGGUAUAGUGUAGCCAAUGUAGUGUAUUGUGUGUAUAGUUUGUAACCCAUAUGUGUAUACUGUAGUAUAACCAAUGUAGCAUGAAUAUGUUUUACGUGAAGGGAGAGUAGCUAUUUUGAAACAUUAUAAAAUCGAAUAUGUUUAAUUAUGUAAUGUGAAUUUCAAAAUAUAUGUAUUAUCUAUUAAAUGCUGAAU